AUGUACAGUACAAAACGUCAGAUAUAUCUACUUAUUGUCCUUCUGAUCACAUCCUUGUUCUUAUUGUGGGGCAACUAUGACGAAUUUCAAAUCUUACCAGAGCCCCCAUACCGUUCAAGAACUGGAAGCCAAAAGCAAACUCACUUAGUAGAAACACAAAUAAUUCCAGAAAUAAACGAUACCGAAAUAAAUGAUACAAAUAGUCAUGCGUCUGCAACAACCUCAGCGAUGUCACUUGUAGAGCCAAAAGUUGUGUAUGCACUAAAUGAAACAAUCAGUUUGAAGAUUGUGCUAUUUGACCACAGGAAUAGACCAAAAACCCGAGGUGGCGAUAUGCUAAUUGUAUGGAUGCGAGACAAUGGUAAGGGAGCUGCUUCAGCCGGAACUGUUAUUGACCAUGACAACGGGACAUAUACUGGUGUUCUGCGCAUCUUGUGGACCGGACAAGCUGUCAUCCGUGCAGCGAUAUUAUCUUCGAGAGAAAAAAUGGCUUUUGUAUACAGGGAAUUUAACAAUGGAUAUACUGGAAAGAGAAUCGAAUGCUUAUUUAAUGUAUACAACUUAACAGAGACUACAUUGGGAUAUAUGGAUAACACAUUUGUGAAAAUGGGACAAGUUUGUAAUUUAACAGACAAACAUUAUGGUGUUCCAUUGUAUUGUUAUAAACCUAAGAAGAAAGAAAUACAGUGCAGCGACUGGACUGGGAUCACUUCACAGAGGAACUUGCCGAUACCAGCCAGGCCUGACAACAAAUGGUAUCUUUCGUCAGCCGGCCCAGGGAUUCUUCCAGGCAAUGUCACAGUGACCGUUUCUUCUGGUAUAUAGGCUGCAUCCUAAAUAACA